UUAAUUGAAACCAAAAUAGAGGUAAAUCACUGUUAAUGAUUUUAAUGAAAAUAUUCCAAUUAAA
rnacentral:tRNA from 1 species